rnacentral:rRNA from 1 species
CACGUAGGGCGCGAGCGUUGUCCGGAAUUAUUGGGCGUAAAGAGCUCGUAGGUGGUUCGGUAAGUCGGGUGUGAAAUCUCCAGGCUCAACCUGGAGGGGUCAUUCGAUACUGCCGUGACUAGAGUUCGGUAGGGGAGUGUGGAAUUCCUGGUGGAGCGGUGAAAUGCGCAGAUAUCAGGAGGAACACCCGUAGCGAAGGCGGCUCUCUGGGACGAAACUGACACUGAGGAGCGAAAGCGUGGGGAGCGAACAGG